UCAAAACUCAGAGAGACGCAAAGCAAGUGAAGGAAACUUUUUGGGUACUGGCAUCAAAGAAGCUUCACUGAUGCAAAAGGUAGCUUCGAACAUAGAUCAUAAGGAAGAUCAUGCCAUUGAUAUUCAACACUCUCUGUCAAGGGCUUUUGCUCUGCCUAGGAUUCUGAAUGAGGCUCAUACGACAGUCAAGAAAAGUAACAAGUCUCAUACCACACUCAUGCAUGGAUUGACACCAAGGGCUUCCAUUAAUUCAAAUGCCAACUUUCCACAUUGACAAACAACAGGGCAGGUAGCUGAGCAAAAAGCAAAGUCUGGUCAAGGUUUUAACAAAGGGGCUAAAAUUUGGAGGAGGAAGGUUGUUUCAAACCCACAAAAUCAAGGUUCUAUAGAGGAACCUAAGGAUAAAGUGUCCCAAGAAGGAUUCUCUGCAGUGACAUUUACACAGGAACAACCUCUUCCUCAAAUGCAAGAUCUCUGAAACAGAUAAAUCAUAUAUUGCAAAAGAUUUUACAUGGACUAUUUGCCAAGAAAUGGUCGGGUUAAGUUGUAGGUGUAAGAUUGGGAGAGACCAUUCUUAGGGCACAUCUCAGAUGACACUUUGGGGCAUUUUUUUCCCUCUUCAUCAGCGCCAAUACAUUUGCAGGUCAUAAUAUUAACAAAUUACUGAGAGUUGUUCAAGGUUAUGACUUUUGGACUGGUCAUCCUUUUUUGUGGGGAUUGUUUCCUAGAAAUCUACUUCUAAGUGGGCAUUCAUACAAAGAUGUUUAUGAUAAUAUUAAGAAAACAGUGGAAAGACAAAGCUUCAGGCAUGUCAAAAUUGCUUAGCAUUCUAACGGUAGGGUGCUUGGAGAUGAGAUUUGUGUGCAAAUUCAGAAUAAGGUUAAUGCACUUCUUAUCAUGUUAGAAUAUGAUACCAAUGAAGAGGGAAGUAAUGUUCAACUUCACUCUUCUAUUCCAGAUUUGAAUGUUGUAGUAGGGUAAGAUGUUGUUGCAAGUGUAGUUCCUGAUGUAGCUAGCACCUCUCAUUCUCCCGUAAAUGGGCAGACAAUAAAUGUAACAAUGGAAAUUAGAGGAGUUGUAGCUGUAGAUAAAAUUCCUGUGGACAUGGAAGAAUAUUUGGAAAGGUGUUUCUUAUAUGACUGUGCUAGGUUUUCUAAUGUUACUGAUUAUAGUUCGACUUUUAGUUUUCAAGCCAUUUUGUUCCAUUAGGAUAGUUAUGGUCGUUUUGGCAUAGCAUUUUGUCAAUUUUGGGAAUCUAGAAAUGUAAAUACUUGGCUUUAGAGAGCCUUCUGACU